rnacentral:rRNA from 1 species
GACGAACGCUGGCGGCGUGCUUAACACAUGCAAGUCGAACGGAAAGGCCCUGCUUUUGUGGGGUGCUCGAGUGGCGAACGGGUGAGUAACACGUGAGUAACCUGCCCUUGACUUUGGGAUAACUUCAGGAAACUGGGGCUAAUACCGGAUAGGAGCUCCUGCGGCAUGGUGGGGGUUGGAAAGUUUCGGCGGUUGGGGAGGGACUCGCGGCUUAUCAGCUUGUUGGUGGGGUAGUGGCUUACCAAGGCUUUGACGGGUAGCCGGCCUGAGAGGGUGACCGGCCACAUUGGGACUGAGAUACGGCCCAGACUCCUACGGGAGGCAGCAGUGGGGAAUAUUGCACAAUGGGCGGAAGCCUGAUGCAGCAACGCCGCGUGCGGGAUGACGGCCUUCGGGUUGUAAACCGCUUUCGCCUGUGACGAAGCGUGAGUGACGGUAAUGGGUAAAGAAGCACCGGCUAACUACGUG